GAAAAUUUUAUAGAAAAAUAAAUUAUUAUUUUGGUCUAAGAAGUAGCAGAUGAAAUCACGGCAUAAUAAUUUUUUGCACAAAAACGUUAGGAGCAUAGAGGCAUUGUUCUGAAAUAAUUUCCGUAGUGAUACACGUCACCAUUCUUUUAGCAUACUGUGGCAUUUGUAAGGGCAAUCAAAUUACAUUACUAUGUUAUAUGCUACAUGAUGAUAUAAGAAUACUAUUGUAGGACUUAUGUUAACUCUAUGGUACCAUUCCAGAGCAAAAAAUUCAUGUUUACUGCUUAGAUAUCUGAAUAAAGUUCUGCAAGCAGGUGUUCUGAACUUAAUCAGGGGGAGAGGAACCUGAAGUUGAUUUUCUUAGAUCACUUUCUAUGGCAGAUCCAAUUCUUACAAGGACGGAAGAAGCUUUGAGAUGGGCAAUGAGAGCCCUGACCCGAAAAUAAAACGACAAGAGGCAUUCAGUCAAGCCUCAGGUUUGACGACAACAAAAUUAUGCCCAGUCAAGCCUCAAAAUAUGCAAUACCGAAGACCUAUGUGCCCAAAAUAAUAAAUCAGCGUUUACAUGUGUCGACAUGUCGUUCUUGCAUCUAUUACUUCAGUAGACAAAGGUGUCAAAUUCUAUCAGUCUGGCUCAGGAUACAUAUAGGCCGAAAUAGUCUUCAAAACUGCAUGUAUAUAUUCUGAAAUAGCUGAAAUCAGUUGUGGGUAUAAAUGUACUUUGUCUCAUCUCUUCAAGAACCAUUGGUGAUUAUUCCCAUCUCCCUAUUUGCCUGCUGUAUUGCCCCACUCAGAAUGGAGUCGGCACGCUCUAGAUAUUUGGCUCUGAGGUAGAGAAGGUGCUCUGCUUCACUGGGAAUCUACUUUCGGAUGGUGGUGUCUGAACAAUUGAUGUUUGAUUACACCUCUACUUAUAUCCUGUAGUUUGCUUCCGCGUCAGUUUUCUGGGCUGAGAAGUUUGAGUUCUGUAAUGGUUUUGCCUGGGUGUCUUGGCAUGCUCCUGCGUGGGCACUUAUGUUACAAUCUGUAAUCGAUCUAAAAAUGCUAUAACUGGUGUUUUUUUUUUUUACUUUUGAACUACAGAUGGUUUGUGGGACAUUGUUACCUCUUAUAUUUCAAGUUUUCUUUAAUAAUACAGUACCAUAUUUUA